UGGGGAAUCUUGGACAAUGGGGGCAACCCUGAUCCAGCCAUGCCGCGUGAGUGAUGAAGGCCUUAGGGUCGUAAAGCUCUUUCGCCUGUGAAGAUAAUGACGGUAGCAGGUAAAGAAACCCCGGCUAACUCCGUGCCAGCAGCCGCGGUAAUACGGAGGGGGGUUAGCGUUGUUCGGAAUUACUGGGCGUAAAGCGCACGUAGGCGGACCAGAAAGUUGGGGGGUGAAAUCCCGGGGGGCUCAACCCCGGAACUGCCUCCAAAACUAUUGGUCUAGAGUUCGAGAGAGGUGAGUGGAAUUCCGAGUGUAGAGGUGAAAUUCGUAGAUAUUUGGAGGAACACCAGUGGCGAAGGCGGCUCACUGGCUCGAUACUGACGCUGAGGUGCGAAAGUGUGGGGAAGCAAACAGGAUUAGAUACCCUGGUAGUCCACGCCGUAAACGAUGAGUGCUAGUCGUCGGCAGGCAUGCCUGUCGGUGACGCAGCUAACGCAUUAAGCACUCCGCCU
rnacentral:rRNA from 1 species